rnacentral:rRNA from 1 species
UACGUAGGGUGCAAGCGUUGUCCGGAAUUAUUGGGCGUAAAGAGCUCGUAGGCGGUCUGUCGCGUCGGCUGUGAAAUCCCGAGGCUCAACCUCGGGUCUGCAGUCGAUACGGGCAAACGUAGAGGUAUUGCAGGGGAGACUGGAAAUUCCUGGUGUGCGGUGAAAUGCGCAGAUAUCAGGAGGAACACCGGUGGCGAAGGCGGGUCUC